AGGUCUUGCCUGCCCAGUGACAAGUUAAACGGCCGCGGUAUUUUGACCGUGCAAAGGUAGCGCAAUCACUUGUCUUUUAAAUGAAGACCUGUAUGAAUGGUGGAACGAGGGCUUAACUGUCUCCCCUUUCAAGUCAAUGAAAUUGAUCUGCCCGUGCAGAAGCGGGUAUAAAAAUACAAGACGAGAAGACCCUUUGGAGCUUAAGAUACAAGAUCAACUAUGUCAAUACACCAAACCCCAAGUUAAACUAAAUAGCACCUGAUCCCUAUCUUCGGUUGGGGCGACCACGGAAGAAAAUAAAGCUUCCAUGCGGACUGGGGCUACCAUCAGCCCUAAAACCAAGAAAGACAUUUCCAAGCAACAGAACAUCUGACCAAAAAGAUCCGGCGACCUCCGCCGAUCAACGGACCAAGUUACCCUAGGGAUAACAGCGCAAUCCCCUUUCAGAGUCCAUAUCGACAAGGGGGUUUACGACCUCGAUGUUGGAUCAGGACAUCCUAAUGGUGCAGCAGCUAUUAAGGGUUCGUUUGUUCAACGAUUAAAGUCCUACGUG
rnacentral:rRNA from 1 species